UACGGGGGGGGCAAGCGUUGUCCGGAAUCAUUGGGCGUAGAGAGCGUGUAGGCGGCUCGGUAAGUCCGCUCUGAAAGCCCGGGGGCUCAACCCCGGGGAGGCGGGCGGAUACUGUCGGGCUAGAGUCCGGAAGAGGCGAGUGGAAUUCCUGGGUGUAGCGGUGAAAUGCGCAGAUAUCAGGAGGAACACCAAUGGCGAAGGCAGCUCGCUGGGACGGUACUGACGCUGAGACGCGAAAGCGUGGGGAGC
rnacentral:rRNA from 1 species